rnacentral:rRNA from 1 species
ACGAACGCUGGCGGCGUGCUUAACACAUGCAAGUCGAACGCUGAAGCUCAGCUUUUGUUGGGUGGAUGAGUGGCGAACGGGUGAGUAACACGUGAGUAACCUGCCCCCUUCUUUGGGAUAACGCCCGGAAACGGGUGCUAAUACUGGAUAUUCACUGGUCUUCGCAUGGGGGUUGGUGGAAAGGGUUUUUCUGGUGGGGGAUGGGCUCGCGGCCUAUCAGCUUGUUGGUGGGGUGAUGGCCUACCAAGGCUUUGACGGGUAGCCGGCCUGAGAGGGUGACCGGUCACAUUGGGACUGAGAUACGGCCCAGACUCCUACGGGAGGCAGCAGUGGGGAAUAAGGCACAAUGGGCGCAAGCCUGAUGCAGCGACGCCGCGUGAGGGAUGGAGGCCUUCGGGUUGUGAACCUCUUUCGCUCAUGGUCAAGCCGCAACAAUGGUUGUGGUGAGGGUAGUGGGUAAAGAAGCGCCGGCUAACUACGUG